CGUCACUUCCGUCUUCCGAAGUGAAAAGCCAUCCAGAAGACGUCUCGGGAGGUGAGAACCCUACCUGUUGAACUGCUCAGCGAAGAUGAGGUUGGUGGAGGUGCCCGUGAUGGUGAUCAGGCCUCCGAUGGUGGCGGCAUAUGUGAUGCUGAGGGAGAGGCACUUGCAGAUCAUGUGGUCGCGCUUGAAAUGGUAAACGGAGGAAGUGGACUCACCUCGCUUGACUUGAGGACCCCGAACAGCGGAUAGAGGAAUGCGGGCACCAGGGCGGCAGCACCCAAGGGCACGG